GUCUCUGCCUGCAGGGUCGACUUCUCCUCCAGAGCCACCGACAGCUGUACCAGAAGAGAGACACGGAGGACAGAGAUUGUAAAAAUGCGACAGGCUGCACACAACUUUUCAGCAAGGUCACCAACUUUACUUCACCAUGCUGCUGGAAAACUACAGCAUGAACUCAAAGUAUGAUGACCAAGGCCAACUGACCCAUCACGAAGCCCUGCCCUCAAAUGCCACGAGCCAAUUGCAUUUCGUGCAGCUACACGAUGCACUCUGACAUCCUGCUCGUAGACCUCCACUGAAAAGCAUCAGGAAUUCAGAUUUCCCUGCAGUUUUAUUUAAAUUUAUGCUGUUGUAACUUUAAAAAAAUGUUCAGAGUUGUGCAUGGGGUAAAUGCAACACUGAUACGAGGUAUCCUGCAAGGCUCGAGAAUGGAGUGUAUUUUAUCCGGCUCCCAAAACCUCAAAUAAACAGAGCAAAGUGUCUCCUCUGGAUUAAACUGUAUGGCACUUAAAGAAGAUAAACAAA